rnacentral:tRNA from 1 species
GCANNCCGUAGCUCAGCUGGAUAGAGCGUUGGCCUCCGAAGCCAAAGGCCGCGCGUUCGAAUCGCGCCGGGCGCACCA